GAAUAUUGCACAAUGGGCGCAAGCCUGAUGCAGCCAUGCCGCGUGUGUGAAGAAGGCCUUCGGGUUGUAAAGCACUUUCAGCGGGGAGGAAGGCGAUAAGGUUAAUAACCUUGUCGAUUGACGUUACCCGCAGAAGAAGCACCGGCUAACUCCGUGCCAGCAGCCGCGGUAAUACGGAGGGUGCAAGCGUUAAUCGGAAUUACUGGGC
rnacentral:rRNA from 1 species